GCUCAGGGCACGCUCCUGGCAGUACUCAGCGUAUCAGAUAGGUGCCGGGGUUGAACCGGGGUCAGUCACUUGGAGGCCAUCGCCUUGACCUCUGUUCUAUCUCUCCUCCGGUAGUUGCCCAGUUAGUAACCAGCUGCUCGGGGGACUGCGAGCCAACGGAGACUCUCUGGAAGUGACUCUGGCCUUCAACCUGAUCCGCUUCUUGGCCAGCGAUACGCUCUACCUGCACGGCCGAGUGACCCUAUGCGACAAACGAGCAGGACACUCGUGCCAGCCGAUCUGUAGCCAGAAGAGUUCGUCUGCGAGAAAUUGGCCUUGGGAGAUUCGAGGGAGCAAGGGCUUGGAGAGUGAAUCCGUCUGGAUAGUGUUCGGGCCCAUCCGAAUAAGCGAGUCCAGUGCCUCCAGCAACAGGAGUUCAACAGGUGCCUGGAUCGCCAUCUCUCUUCUGAUGUUGAUAGGCUGGAUGCUAGGAUAAAAUCCUGCCUCUGUACUUCCUCUAGACUCUAGUCCUUAGCCUCUAGUUUAAUUGCCUGAUAGAAAAAAAUUUAGAAAGAGGCAAAAUUUAGUUUGUCCUUGCGUUAGGAACCAGAAAGGUAGGACGUGAAAAGAGGACCCAAGUAUGAGCCUUCUACUUUCUGACCUUUCGGCUAUACCUCUCAUCUCACAACCCUUUUGCCAUCUCUGCAAUUCUUCCAAGCUGCUCAA